UACAGAGGGGGCAAGCGUUGUUCGGAAUUACUGGGCGUAAAGGGCGCGUAGGUGGCCUUCUAAGUCGAACGUGAAAUCCCUGGGCUCAACCCAGGAACUGCGUCCGAUACUGGAAGGCUUGAAUCCGGGAGAGGGAUGCGGAAUUCCAGGUGUAGCGGUGAAAUGCGUAGAUAUCUGGAGGAAUACCGGUGGCGAAGGCGGCAUCCUGGACCGGCAUUGACGCUGAGGCGCGAAAGCUAGGGGAGCAAACGGG
rnacentral:rRNA from 1 species